ACAAUUAAUUUGUAGUGCAUUUCUUUUAGAACAUAAAUGAAAAUUGAAAAAUCCCACCUGCGCUUUCACAAUGAAAUUUUUAAAGUGUGUUGUACUACUUUUGGGACAAAUUAUAUCAAAAUUAUAGAAAACUUCAUUGGCUCUAACUCAAAAUAUGGACAAUUUUAUGUUUAGGGCGUCUUGAAAUCUUUUGACAGCUUCCGAAGUGCUAAUUUUUAACCUUUUCCAGCUGGACGAAAUCACUACUUUCCUUUAAAAUUCUGGACCCAAAUUGUUUUACAGUGUAAUUUCACCCUCCUACUUCCAAUUUGAGGCAUAAAACAUGGAGAAAUAUAUUUGGAAAGGGUAUGAAAAAUAUUGGCAGGUAACCCACUGUCAACACUAGGGACUAUAUUCGUGAACAACGAAAAUCAAGGGACGACAAUUGUGGUCCCGGACCAUU
rnacentral:lncRNA from 1 species